AGUGAACGCUGGCGGUAGGCCUAACACAUGCAAGUCGAACGGCAGCACAGUAAGAGCUUGCUCUUACGGGUGGCGAGUGGCGGACGGGUGAGGAAUACAUCGGAAUCUACUUUUUCGUGGGGGAUAACGUAGGGAAACUUACGCUAAUACCGCAUACGACCUACGGGUGAAAGCAGGGGAUCUUCGGACCUUGCGCGAUUGAAUGAGCCGAUGUCGGAUUAGCUAGUUGGCGGGGUAAAGGCCCACCAAGGCGACGAUCCGUAGCUGAUCUGAGAGGAUGAUCAGCCACACUGGAACUGAGACACGGUCCAGACUCCUACGGGAGGCAGCAGUGGGGAAUAUUGGACAAUGGGCGCAAGCUUGAUCCAGCCAUACCGCGUGGGUGAAGAAGGCCUUCGGGUUGUAAAGCCCUUUUGUUGGGAAAGAAAAGCAGCAGGUUAAUACCCCGCUGUUCUGACGGUACCCAAAGAAUAAGCACCGGCUAACUUCGUG
rnacentral:rRNA from 1 species